GGGGUUGUGGCUCAGUGGUAGAGUGCUCGCCUAGCAUGUGCGCGGCCCUGGGUUCAAUCCUCAGCACCA
rnacentral:tRNA from 1 species